rnacentral:rRNA from 1 species
CCUACGGGAGGCAGCAGUAGGGAAUGUUCGGCAAUGGGGGGAACCCUGACCGAGCAACGCCGCGUGAAUGAAGAAGUUAUUCGUAAUGUAAAGUUCUUUUAACAGGGAAGAAAGAGAAAUUUGACGGUACCUGAAGAAUAAGCUCCGGCUAACAACGUGCCAGCAGCCGCGGUAAUACGUAGGGAGCGAGCGUUAUCCGGAAUUAUUGGGCGAAAAGGGUGGGUAGAUGGCAUAGUAAGUCUUUUGUAAAAAUGCUGGGCUCAAACCAGUAGGGCAAAAGAAACUGGAAAGCUAGAGUAUGACAGAGGCAAGUGGAACUACAUGUGUAGCGGUGAAAUGCGUAAAUAUAUGUAAGAACACCAGUGGCGAAGGCGGCUUGCUGGGUCGAUACUGACGUUGAGGCACGAAAGCGUGGGGAGCAAACAGGAUUAGAUACCCUUGUAGUC